rnacentral:rRNA from 1 species
UACAGAGGCCUCGAGCGUUAGGCGGAAUCACUGGGCUUAAAGCGUGUGUAGGCGGACCCCUAAGUGCCUUGUGAAAUCCCACGGCUCACCCGUGGAACUGCUGGGCAUACUGGGGGUCUUGAGCCACCUAGGGGCUACCGGAACAAAUGGUGGAGCGGUGAAAUGCGUAGAUAUCAGGAGGAACACCGGUGGCGAAGGCGGGUCUCUGGGCAGUAACUGACGCUGAGGAGCGAAAGCGUGGGGAGCGAACAGG